GUGAAAGUGUUCGCUUUGUUUAAACUGUAACGAGAAGAGGGAAGGAAAGAGGAAGAGAGAGGAAACGGGAAGUCUUCUACACGUGGACUGUCGACAAUUAAUUUAAGAGGAACUUCUCUUACAGUGUUUUUCAACUCAGACUGAAGAUGAGUGGUUAUGAGGAAGAGGAGGACAGAGCAGAGUCUCCAGUGUUUAGCUGUCUGUCUCUGAAGAGUGACUGGUCCAAAGAAGAGCCUCCAAACUUCAGUAAUGAACCUGGACCCUCACACACGGAAGGUCAGGACCACAGACUGAGAGCAGAGUCUCCAGGGUCCAUCUGUGUGUCUCUGAAGAGUGAC